GAUGAACGCUAGCGGCAGGCUUAAUACAUGCAAGUCGAGGGGCAACAGGGGUAGCAAUACCCGCUGGCGACCGGCAAACGGGUGCGGAACACGUACAGAACCUUCCUUUAAGCGGGGGAUAGCCCAUAGAAAUGUGGAUUAAUACCCCAUAGUAAUGUUGUCUGGCAUCAGAUGAUAUUUAAAGAUUUAUCACUUAAAGAUGGCUGUGCGGCUGAUUAGGUAGUUGGUGNGGGUAACGGCCACCAAGCCAGCGAUCAGUAACUGGUGUGAGAGCACGACCAGUCACACGGGCACUGAGACACGGGCCCGACUCCUACGGGAGGCAGCAGUAAGGAAUAUUGGUCAAUGGACGCAAGUCUGAACCAGCCAUGCCGCGUGAAGGAUGAAGG
rnacentral:rRNA from 1 species